UUGCUAUCUAUCUACAAUAUGAAUUUGUGAAAUCGGUCAGGUCUGGAAAGAAGCAUCCGUAGCAGACGAUAUAUGUGUUAGAAAAUAGUUAAUA
rnacentral:SRP_RNA from 1 species